rnacentral:rRNA from 1 species
UGAUAGUACUUCACAACCACUAUCCGCCCGGGUACUACGAGCACCAGCUUAAAACCCAAAGGACUUGGCGGUGCCCCAGACCCCCCUAGAGGAGCCUGUUCUAGAACCGAUAAUCCCCGUUCAACCUCACCACCUCUUGCCCCCUGCCUAUAUACCGCCGCCGUCAGCUUACCCUGUGAAGGUAAAAUAGUAAGCCAAGUUGGUACAGCCAAAAACGUCAGGUCGAGGUGUAGCGUACGAGGUGGGAAGAAAUGGGCUACAUUCCUUUAUGAUAAGGUAAUACGAAAGGGGUAUUGAAACAUACCCCCUGAAGGAGGAUUUGCAGUAAGCCUGGAAUAAAGUGCCU